UACGUAGGGGGCGAGCGUUGUCCGGAUUUAUUGGGCGUAAAGAGCUCGUAGGCGGCUUGGCAAGUCGGGUGUGAAAUCUCGGAGCUUAACUCCGAAACUGCAUUCGAUACUGCCGUGCUUGAGGACUGGAGAGGAGACUGGAAUUUACGGUGUAGCGGUGAAAUGCGUAGAUAUCGUAAGGAAGACCAGUGGCGAAGGCGGGUCUCUGGACAGUUCCUGACGCUGAGGCACGAAGGUCAGGGGAGCAAACGGG
rnacentral:rRNA from 1 species